rnacentral:misc_RNA from 1 species
CCCCCCUCACGCGCCCCGUUGCGCGCUGGUGUUGGGGCACCUCCGCCUGGCGGAGGGCCCCCAAAGCGAGUGGCGGGCCCGGCUGGUUGGCUCCGAGCGCAGUACCGAACGCAAGUUCUCCCCUCGCCCGGACGCCCCGCCGGCGCCCUGCCGUCAAAACGCGCAUGACGUGCAACUCUUUUACAA